AAGUCGUAACAAGGUUUCCGUAGGUGAACCUGCGGAAGGAUCAUUAUGAGAUUAGAGUAUUUUUUAAUGAGAGGGACGAAGUCGAUAGACGUAGUCCUGAUCAUUAGAGAGAAUUAAAUAUUCUUUUUAACAAAAUGUGAAGAGUCCUUUAUUAGGUUGACGUGAAAGUCUACUGAAAGUCUACUGAAAGUCUACUAAAAGUCUACUGAAAGUCUACUGAAAAAGGAAUUACUACUACAUGAAUAUAUAUAAUACAUUAUUCAUGUGUGUGGAAUAUUACAUUUGUGUAAUAUAUAAACAAUAGAGUAUCAUCAGUGAGUUUAUUUUAAAUGUAUAUUAAUAUAUAUAAUAACUUUUAACAAUGGAUCUCUUGGCUCUU
rnacentral:misc_RNA from 1 species